rnacentral:rRNA from 1 species
GCCUAGGAAUCUGCCUGGUAGUGGGGGACAACGUUUCGAAAGGAACGCUAAUACCGCAUACGUCCUACGGGAGAAAGCAGGGGACCUUCGGGCCUUGCGCUAUCAGAUGAGCCUAGGUCGGAUUAGCUAGUUGGUGGGGUAAUGGCUCACCAAGGCGACGAUCCGUAACUGGUCUGAGAGGAUGAUCAGUCACACUGGAACUGAGACACGGUCCAGACUCCUACGGGAGGCAGCAGUGGGGAAUAUUGGACAAUGGGCGAAAGCCUGAUCCAGCCAUGCCGCGUGUGUGAAGAAGGUCUUCGGAUUGUAAAGCACUUUAAGUUGGGAGGAAGGGCAUUAACCUAAUACGUUAGUGUUUUGACGUUACCGACAGAAUAAGCACCGGCUAACUCUGUGCCAGCAGCCGCGGUAAUACAGAGGGUGCAAGCGUUAAUCGGAAUUACUGGGCGUAAAGCGCGCGUAGGU